rnacentral:lncRNA from 1 species
CUUAUAGCCUGGAUGGACCAUAAAGGGACAGAAAGAAGGCUGGCUUACUCUGCUGCUGCUGCCGCUGCUUGCUGCCUUCUGUCUGCCCUGCCACUCCAUGGGCUGUUUCUCCUUUGCCAUGCCAUGCCACCCUGCUUUGGAACCAGCCAACUGUGGACUGAAACCUGUACAAACUGUGAGCUGAAAUAAGCCUUUCCUUCUUGUUGGGACCAGGACAAAGCAGAUGAGGAAAGAAACAGAUCCAGAAUCAAAAGUAAUGCUUAGGGUGCACAGAGGGCUUCCCCUCCGAAGAUGCUACUAUUUAUUCCAUCUCAAACACCAUGUCCACUGUGGAUGGCUUUCACCCCUCAGCAUGAGACAGUC